GACGUAGGAGGCGAGCGUUAUCCGGAUUCACUGGGCGUAAAGCGCAUGUAGGCGGUUCGAUAAGUCCGCUGUUAAAGCCCCCGGCUCAACUGGGGGAGGUCAGUGGAGACUAUAGGACUUGAGGGCAACAGAGGCACGUGGAACUCCCGGUGUAGCGGUGGAAUGCGUAGAGAUCGGGAAGAACACCAGUGGCGAAGGCGACGUGCUGGGUUGCGACUGACGCUGAGAUGCGAAAGUGUGGGGAGCAAACGGG
rnacentral:rRNA from 1 species